rnacentral:lncRNA from 1 species
GUAUAUUAGUCGAAUUUCUGAAGCUACUAAGAGGAAAUCUAUAUUCUCUGAAAAUCUGGUUAGUAUCUACCAAAAAGAAGUGUAUUUUGUUUUAUUUUUCGCAAAUGAGAGAGGGAGGACUUUUGUUGGUUUGCUUCGUUUCUGUAUUUUUGAAGCACAUCCUCGCUUUCAAAUAAAGUGGUUCAUUGAAGUUCAAGAGACAAAACCAGCCAAAUGAAAAAUUAGCACACAAAAUUAAUGAUUGCUGAAAUUGGCAGAGCUUGUUGGAAAGCUGAGGUUCUUCUGGCAUCUGCAUUUGGAACAGCAUCAAAGCUAUGGCCUCCAUUAAGUCUGAGAGCUGAAAAAAGUAAAGAGAGGGGCGGGUGGGGGGAAGAGAGGAAAACAUCUCUAGAAUAUCAGGUGCAAAGACAAACUGAAAGAUCUGCUCCAGAGGAUCUUUCCAUGCUGAAGAGCAGACAUGGGAGACCGGAGAAGAAAUUCUAUGCCACCACUGAGGUCUGCUUUGCUGACAGAUAAACACUGCGAGGUAUAUCCCAGCAUAUCUGUUUUGACCCAAUAUAGAACCACCACCAUCAUCAAUGUUUGAAUACUUUUCCUUGCUUUAAAAUACCAACUCACCCACCCACCAAAGGAUCUUAUUCAGUGCAAGAUCUACAUGAGUUGUGAUUUUCAGCGCAGUCUUUUCUAUGCCUUUUUGAAUUCCAUGGGGCUCACUCGCAAAAUAAGUGUGCACAGCAUUGUAAUGUGAGACACAAAACGCUGUCUUAUUUUUGUAGCUGAUUGUCAGCAUUAUGAUCUAUCUUAGAGCAUUUUCUGUAUGUACAGCAUGACAUGUCCAUGUAUGGACACAAAUACCUUCCCUAGGUUAAUGCUUGCCUUCAGUUUAGUAGGCUGAGUUGAGCCAACAAGAUGGAAGACUUACUUUCUUUCUUUCUUUCUUUCUUUCUUUCUUUCUUUCUUUCUUUCUUUCUUUCUUUCUUUCUUUCUUUCUUUCUUUCUUUCUUUCUUUCUUUCUUUCUUUCUUUCUUUCUUUCUUUGCAGCUUCCAAAAUCCUGUAACACAGAGGAUCCUUUUUAAAUGAAAGGGCUGAGUGGGGGGGGUGGGACCCCUCUCUCUCUAUCAUGCUUUAGCAUGGAUACUGUCUUCUUGACUUUUUCACUCCCUCACAGCACAGGGGAACCUAUAUAAAGAAACUUGGCCAGGCUAUGAAAGGCAUAAAUUAGGGAAGGAAGGGCCGAGGGAAGUCCCAUUAGAGCCCAAGCAGAAAGAGUUCAAAUGCCAGAGCUUUCAGCUGUUGAAGAUAAAAGUUCCAGCGCUUUCAAUUCUUGCUUUCUGCUUCUGCCAGUAUUUGGUGGGGAGGGCUUUUCCUUGGCAGUUUACUGCUGAAAAAAUAACAAAGAUAAAUUAAACAAAAUAAAUACAUACUGGAUUGAAUAGAUAAUAAUUUC